AUUGAACGCUGGCGGCAGGCCUAACACAUGCAAGUCGAACGCGCGGCGUACAGGUGAGUAAUGUAUGGGGACUGCCCGCUAGAGUGGGAUAACUACUGGACACGGUAGCUAAUACCGCAUACUAUCGGCUAACCCCUAUAGGAUUAGCUAGGGGGUGAGGUAAUGGCUCACCAAGGCGACGAUCCCUAGCUGGUCUGAGAGGAUGCGCAGCCACACUGGGACUGAGACACGGCCCAGACUCCUACGGAGGCAGCAGUGGGGAAUAUUGCACAAUGGGCGCAAGCCUGAUGCAGCCAUGCCGCGUGUAUGAAGAAGGCCUUAGGGUUGUAAAGUACUUUCAGCGGGGAGGCGUUACCCGCAGAAGAAGCACCGGCUAACUCCGUGCCAGCCGCCGCGGUAAUUC
rnacentral:rRNA from 1 species